UUUUAUUGUGAAAAUACCGACGUUUGGGAAGCAGCUACGGCUCCAUUUGUCAAUAAUGAUAUCAACUAAUUGGUACUACUGAUUUUGCAAGAAGAAGGAUAACAGCUGGUACUUGGCAAUUUUUAUAUAACUAUGAACUGAGGAGCUUCGAUGGACGGCGUACUUUUCAGCAAGAAAUGACAAGAACGCGUCUCUGUGUCGGUACCAGACCUCUGACGUAAUUUUUCCCGCUAAUUCCUAUAAUUAGCAUCGAUCACGAGGCAAAGAUUUCCGGUGAUCCCUGAGUACCCCAUCAAGUCAAAUAAAAAUGUUAGUUAUAACAAUAAAAGGAUUGUAAACCAAAA